GGAUUUCAACAGCACAUAUACUAAAAUUGGAACGAUACAGAGAUUAGCACGGUUCCUGUGCAAGGAUGACACCCAAAUUCAUGAGGCUUUCCAUAUUUUA
ensembl:snRNA U6 U6 spliceosomal RNA